ACCGAAAGGUAUGCGUAAUACGAGAUAAAAUACUUUUAUCGCAUGGUAGAAGUAUCAAAGCUUUUGCGGUACAGGAUGGACCCGCGUCUGAUUAGCUAGUUGGUAAGGUAACGGCUUACCAAGGCGACGAUCAGUAGCCGACCUGAGAGGGUGAUCGGCCACAUUGGAACUGAGACACGGUCCAAACUCCUACGGGAGGCAGCAGUGGGGAAUAUUGCACAAUGGGCGAAAGCCUGAUGCAGCAACGCCGCGUGAGCGAUGAAGGCCUUCGGGUCGUAAAGCUCUGUCCUCAAGGAAGAUAAUGACGGUACUUGAGGAGGAAGCCCCGGCUAACUACGUGCCAGCAGCCGCGGUAAUACGUAGGGGGCUAGCGUUAUCCGGAAUUACUGGGCGUAAAGGGUGCGUAGGUGGUUUCUUAAGUCAGAGGUGAAAGGCUACGGCUCAACCGUAGUAAGCCUUUGAAACUGGGAAACUUGAGUGCAGGAGAGGAGAGUGGAAUUCCUAGUGUAGCGGUGAAAUGCGUAGAUAUUAGGAGGAACACCAGUUGCGAAGGCGGCUCUCUGGACUGUAACUGACACUGAGGCACGAAAGCGUGGGGAGCGAACAGGAUUAGAUACCCUGGUAGUCCACGCCGUAAACGAUGAGUACUAGCUGUCGGAGGUUACCCCCUUCGGUGGCGCAGCUAACGCAUUAAGUACUCCGCCU
rnacentral:rRNA from 1 species